UGCAUUCACUACUGUAAGUCGCUCUGGAUAAAAGCGUCUGCUAAAUGACAAUUU
rfam:Salmo salar isolate Sally breed double haploid chromosome ssa03, whole genome shotgun sequence.